GAAAAGCUUCAGCAUGGAAAAUAAUGGGCUUACAGGAAAGCAGAAUAAUAUGCAAAACCAAGAUGAAACAUGUUUCAGGUCUACAUUGCAACUCAAACAGAAAUCCUUUGAUGUGACCUUGUGAAAGGGUGAAGGAGGGGAAAAGAGAAGAGAAGAAAAGAAAAACAUGUUCUGACCAGCUCCAAUCAGAGCCAAAUGGCUCAAUCCUGGAUUUGGUGAGGGAAGUAUGCUGGAGGGGAGAAAACAGGAGUGUCUUGGUUCCACACACAGCCUGGCUGGGCUGAGGGCUCCUGUCAGAUCCAUUCCUGUGAGUCAUUACGGUCUCCAUUUCCCCAGGACACUGUGUGGGAUAGCUUUUAAGCACUCCAGGGCAAUGUGUCACUUGCAAGCAGUGCCCUGUUGUUUGCCAGGGCCACUUGGGCUCUCCAUGCAUGUGUGGGAUGCACACAGGUACACUCUGCUCAAGUCCUCCAAUAUUUCCAUGACGUCUUUAGCUCCCAGAGACAGCAAUAACACCUGGCACCCAUCCAGACCUGGGAAUUCAGCUCUUCUUCAUUCAUGAAAGAGGAGAGAGGAAAAAAAUGG